GCUAAAUAACAUAAUAAUAUUAUGUUUUUAAUAUGUUUUUCUUUGUCAUCUGAGUUAUUGUCUUUAUGGUUUGCAACUAAUAGCUUCUGCAUGACUCCCUCUCGAUUUCAAACCCAACAAUGGUAUCAGAGUCCAAGGUUCAAUAAAUCGAUGGUCCAAUUAUUGAACAAAGUUGCAAUCAAUUUGAUGAUAAUGAAGAUAUAUGUCCAAAAGCAUGUCAAGCAGCAGUGGUGAAGACUAUGUGAAGAACAAAGAUUAAAGAUGUGAAGAAGGCGGAUCAAGAAUAUUUUAAAGAAAAUCAAGUCAAAAAGAAGAGAUUUGUUAGGGUUUUUGCCCUGAUUUUCUUACUAUAUUUAAGUUUUAUUUUUUCUUAGAAGGAAAAUAAAAUUUACCAUAAUUACUUUUACUUUUUCUGAAAGAAAAAAAUAUAAUUCUUUUCCAUAUUUGGCUAACCUCUUUCUUGGAGGAAAGGUUUUGGAUAUCUAUAAAUAUAAGACCCUCCUUCUCAUACCACAACACAAUAGCAUCCACGAUGUCGUCUUUUAAGAGUUUCGUUUAGGGAGAGAUUCUCACUCAUUAAUUUUAUGAUUUUUAAUAUUAUUUUUAAUAUUAGAUUUUAUAUGUAGGCCAAUUGGCCAAAUCACAUAAUAAUAUUAUGUUUUUAGCA